rnacentral:rRNA from 1 species
UACGGGGGGGGCAAGCGUUGUUCGGAAUUACUGGGCGUAAAGGGCUCGUAGGUGGCCAACUAAGUCAGACGUGAAAUCCCUCGGCUUAACCGGGGAACUGCGUCUGAUACUGGAUGGCUUGAGUUCGGGAGAGGGAUGCGGAAUUCCAGGUGUAGCGGUGAAAUGCGUAGAUAUCUGGAGGAACACCGGUGGCGAAGGCAGGUCACUGGGCCGCAACUGACGCUGAGGAGCGAAAGCAUGGGGAGCGAACAGG